ACGUAGGGGGCGAGCGUUGUCCGAAGUUACUGGGCGUAAAGCGCGCGUAGGCGGGGGAUUAAGUGAGAGGUGAAAGGCUGGGGCUCAACCCCAUGCAGUGCCUCUCAUACUGGUCUUCUUGAGGGCGGUAGGGAGAAGUGGAAUGGCUGGUGUAGCGGUGAAAUGCGUAGAUAUCAGGAGGAACAUCCGUGGCGAAGGCGGCUACCUGGACCAGCAC
rnacentral:rRNA from 1 species